rnacentral:rRNA from 1 species
UACGUAGGCAGCAAGCGUUGUUCGGAGUUACUGGGCGUAAAGGGCGCGUAGGCGGACUCGCCAGUCCGGGGUGAAAUCUUUCGGCUUAACCGGAAAAGUGCCUUGGAUACUGCGAGUCUUGAGGAAGGUAGGGGCAUGUGGAACUUCCGGUGGAGCGGUGAAAUGCGUUGAUAUCGGAAGGAACACCGGUGGCGAAAGCGACGUGCUGGCCCUUCUCUGACGCUGAGGCGCGAAAGCCAGGGGAGCAAACGGG